UUGGUGCAUGACUGUAGAACUUUAAGCAAUGAUGAAAAUGCUCUAUAUCCACACUAUCCAAUAUGGUAACCACUAGCCACUUGUGACUACUGAGUGUCUGAAAGGUUCUGCUUGAAUUCUUGCCCUGGCUCUUGGUGAAGGAUCGGCCUGCUGGAUCUGAGUCAUCCACCUAUAAGAGGGACAACACCACACAUUGGUCGCUGCUCUCAAGCCCCUGGAAUACCACCCCACUUGGCUUCUCCUGGUAACAGUGGCUGCCUUUGCUUGCCUGUCUCCAACUCCUCCCAAGAGCAUUGCUGACUAUACCACCCACAUAAACAAAAACUUUUUGGGAGUCCUCCAGAAUUUUUAAGAGUUAUCUAAACUAUUGCCUUUAAUGACCAGGAACUCCAAUUUGAGAAGUUACCCUACGUUAAGCCAACAGCAGCCUGGCUCCUUCAUCCUGUGCAGUAUGGGACAGAGCUGGGUCCUUGUUGUCAUCAGCCAGACAAGCACACAUUAAAGCCCACCUUAGCCAUUGGCAUUACAGCUUUAAAAGCAGCUCCAUCCUACCAUGCUGUCACUCUACUCAAUCACGUGAUCUUAACGACCAGCUCUACAUAUCCUCUCUCCAUGCCCCCACCACCAUCCCCCACCAAC
rnacentral:lncRNA from 1 species